rnacentral:sRNA from 1 species
UACGCCUUCCAUGAGGCCCAUUUUCACGCUUGGAUCUUCAGUGCAAUGGUCGAGCGUAUUAUCACCUAUUGACCGGCGUUGACAAAGUUCACAGCUUUAGGAAAUUCAUGUUGAUCUCUUCGGUCCGAACCACAUUUUUGCACUGAUUGAGUUAGCAAUGAAUAUUUACAUCCGUUAUCACUGAGCUCCUCGCCCGGUCGCGAGCCCCACUUGGCAGCUUCAGUCCGCUGCCUUGAUCUGGCCAGUAUCCCGACGUAGAUGGGUGAAAUUUGCUGGCAAAGAACUGCUUUCAACAUCAUGAUUUUAAUUCUGAUAUUUACCCACUUAAACCAGUGCAUCAUGUUCGCGUCGAACCCCCCCAGGGCGCUGCGGUGGAACCUGCUGUGGAACUUGGCCGGAGCGGCUGAUUCCAUGCAGGGUCGCGUAUGAAUUUCACACAGUACUGGUUGAGGGGUUUGGCAGUUAAAAUAUCGAACUGAUGAACCGGGUCGCAGAAGGUUUGCGUUUUAAUGACCAAUUUUGGUCGUGUCGGGUGCUUUUGUGAUAGUGAGCAAUUGGUCCUAUUUCCUAUUUUUAAGGCUGUGUGGGCGUUGAUCUGGUAGCACCAAUACGAGAUUUUCCCUCCGAUAUAUCUUAUAGGUACACGUAGUGGUCGACACGGUAUCAUUAGCGGCAGAUAUGACAUUUGAAUUGGACGGGAAUGUUCUGAGUUGAGAGAUAUAUGAAUGAAAAGAGAGAGUUGUGGUUGAAUUCAGGUUGAUUCUUCCAAGCAUGUACU